ensembl:misc_RNA Y_RNA Y RNA
GGCCAGUCCAAGUGCAGUGGUGUUUACAACUAAUUGAUCAUAAUCUGUUACAGAGUUAUUUGUUCCUUCUCCACUUACACUGCUUCACUUGACAAAUCUAUA